rnacentral:rRNA from 1 species
UGUAGCAAUACGGGGCGCUCUAGUGGCGAAUGGGUGCGUAACACGUAGGUGACCUGCCCCAAAGUGGGGAGUAACAAAUCGAAAGGACUGCUAAUACCGCAUGUGGUCCUGGAGGUUAGAGGCUCCGGGUCUAAGGCUGCUCGCAAGAGUGGCGCUUCGGGAGGGGCCUGCGGCCCAUCAGGUAGUUGGUAGGGUAACGGCCUACCAAGCCAUCGACGGGUAGGGGAUCUGAGAGGAUGGUCCCCCACACUGGCACUGACACACGGGCCAGACUCCUACGGGAGGCAGCAGUAGGGAAUAUUGCACAAUGGGCGAAAGCCUGAUGCAGCAACGCCGCGUGCGCGAUGAAGGCCUUCGGGUCGUAAAGCGCUUUUCGGGGGGAUGAGGAAGGACAGUACCCCCGGAAUAAGUCACGGCUAACUACGUGCCAGCAGCCGCGGUAAGACGUAGGUGGCGAGCGUUAUCCGGAUUUACUGGGCGUAAAGCGCGUGCAGGUGGUUUGAUAAGUCGGGCGUGAAAUCUCCUGGCUCAACUGGGAGAGGCCGUUCGAUACUAUCAGACUUGAGGGCAGUAGAGGGAGGUGGAAUUCCGGGUGUAGUGGUGAAAUGCGUAGAUAUCCGGAGGAACACCGGUGGCGAAGGCGGCCUCCUGGACUGCCCCUGACACUCAGACGCGAAAGCUAGGGGAGCGAACGGGAUUAGAAACCCCGGUAGUCCUAGCCGUAAACGAUGCUAACUAGGUGUCGGCGGACUAAACCCUGCCGGUGCCGAAGCCAACGCGAUAAGUUAGCCGCCUGGGGACUACGGCCGCAAGGUUAAAACUCAAAGGAAUUGACGGGGGCCCGCACAAGCAGCGGAGCGUGUGGUUUAAUUCGAGGUUACGCGAAGAACCUUACCAGGGAUUGACAUGUAGGUAGUAG